rnacentral:piRNA from 1 species
UACUGGAAUCACUCUGAUAUC